UACGUAGGAUGCAAGCGUUGUCCGGAAUUAUUGGGCGUAAAGAGCGCGCAGGCGGUCUAUCAAGUCAGAUGUGAAAUAUCCGGGCUUAACCCGGAGGGGUCAUUUGAAACUGGUAGACUAGAGUACAGCAGAGGAUAGCGGAAUUCCCGGUGUAGUGGUGAAAUGCGUAGAUAUCGGGAGGAACACCAGUGGCGAAGGCGGACUAUCUGGGCUGAAACUGACGCUGAGGCGCGAAGGCUAGGGGAGCAAACA
rnacentral:rRNA from 1 species